UACGUAGGGGGCUAGCGUUGUCCGGAAUCAUUGGGCGUAAAGAGCGUGUAGGCGGCCCGGUAAGUCCGCUGUGAAAGUCGGGGGCUCAACCCUCGGAUGCCGGUGGAUACUGUCGAGCUUGAGUACGGAAGAGGCGAGUGGAAUUCCUGGUGUAGCGGUGAAAUGCGCAGAUAUCAGGAAGAACACCAAUGGCGAAGGCAGUUCUCUGGGACGGUACUGACGCUGAGACGCGAAAGCGUGGGGAGCGAACAGG
rnacentral:rRNA from 1 species